UACGAAGGGGGCUAGCGUUGUUCGGAAUUACUGGGCGUAAAGCGCGCGCAGGCGGUUCUUCAAGUCAGAGGUGAAAGCCCAGAGCUCAACUCUGGAAUGGCCUUUGAGACUAGAGAACUUGGGUACGGGAGAGGUGAGUGGAAUUCCGAGUGUAGAGGUGAAAUUCGUAGAUAUUCGGAAGAACACCAGUGGCGAAGGCGGCUCACGUGGCCC
rnacentral:rRNA from 1 species